CGAAUACCCAGAAGUGCCGAGCAUGGGAGACACACGGCGGGUGCUAACGUCCGUCGUGAAAAGGGAAACAACCCAGACCGCCAGCUAAGGUCCCAAAGUUGUGGUUAAGUGGUAAACGAUGUGGGAAGGCUUAGACAGCUAGGAGGUUGGCUUAGAAGCAGCCACCCUUUAAAGAAAGCGUAAUAGCUCACUAGUCGAGUCGGCCUGCGCGGAAGAUGUAACGGGGCUCAAACCACACACCGAAGCUGCGGGUGUCACGUAAGUGACGCGGUAGAGGAGCGUUCUGUAAGCCUGUGAAGGUGAGUUGAGAAGCUUGCUGGAGGUAUCAGAAGUGCGAAUGCUGACAUGAGUAACGACAAUGGGUGUGAAAAACACCCACGCCGAAAGACCAAGGGUUCCUGCGCAACGUUAAUCGACGCAGGGUUAGUCGGUUCCUAAGGCGAGGCUGAAAAGCGUAGUCGAUGGGAAACAGGUUAAUAUUCCUGUACUUCUGGUUACUGCGAUGGAGGGACGGAGAAGGCUAGGCCAGCUUGGCGUUGGUUGUCCAAGUUUAAGGUGGUAGGCUGAAAUCUUAGGUAAAUCCGGGGUUUCAAGGCCGAGAGCUGAUGACGAGUCGUCUUUUAGAUGACGAAGUGGUUGAUGCCAUGCUUCCAAGAAAAGCUUCUAAGCUUCAGGUAACCAGGAACCGUACCCCAAACCGACACAGGUGGUCGGGUAGAGAAUACCAAGGCGCUUGAGAGAACUCGGGUGAAGGAACUAGGCAAAAUGGCACCGUAACUUCGGGAGAAGGUGCGCCGGCUAGGGUGAAGGAUUUACUCCGUAAGCUCUGGCUGGUCGAAGAUACCAGGCCGCUGCGACUGUUUAUUAAAAACACAGCACUCUGCAAACACGAAAGUGGACGUAUAGGGUGUGACGCCUGCCCGGUGCCGGAAGGUUAAUUGAUGGGGUUAGCGCAAGCGAAGCUCUUGAUCGAAGCCCCGGUAAACGGCGGCCGUAACUAUAACGGUCCUAAGGUAGCGAAAUUCCUUGUCGGGUAAGUUCCGACCUGCACGAAUGGCGUAACGAUGGCGGCGCUGUCUCCACCCGAGACUCAGUGAAAUUGAAAUCGCUGUGAAGAUGCAGUGUAUCCGCGGCUAGACGGAAAGACCCCGUGAACCUUUACUGUAGCUUUGCACUGGACUUUGAGCCUGCUUGUGUAGGAUAGGUGGGAGGCUUUGAAGCGUGGACGCCAGUUCGCGUGGAGCCAUCCUUGAAAUACCACCCUGGCAUGCUUGAGGUUCUAACUCUGGUCCGUGAUCCGGAUCGAGGACAGUGUAUGGUGGGCAGUUUGACUGGGGCGGUCUCCUCCUAAAGAGUAACGGAGGAGUACGAAGGUGCGCUCAGACCGGUCGGAAAUCGGUCGCAGAGUAUAAAGGCAAAAGCGCGCUUGACUGCGAGACAGACACGUCGAGCAGGUACGAAAGUAGGUCUUAGUGAUCCGGUGGUUCUGUAUGGAAGGGCCAUCGCUCAACGGAUAAAAGGUACUCCGGGGAUAACAGGCUGAUACCGCCCAAGAGUUCAUAUCGACGGCGGUGUUUGGCACCUCGAUGUCGGCUCAUCACAUCCUGGGGCUGAAGCCGGUCCCAAGGGUAUGGCUGUUCGCCAUUUAAAGUGGUACGCGAGCUGGGUUUAGAACGUCGUGAGACAGUUCGGUCCCUAUCUGCCGUGGACGUUUGAGAUUUGAGAGGGGCUGCUCCUAGUACGAGAGGACCGGAGUGGACGAACCUCUGGUGUUCCGGUUGUCACGCCAGUGGCAUUGCCGGGUAGCUAUGUUCGGAAAAGAUAACCGCUGAAAGCAUCUAAGCGGGAAACUUGCCUCAAGAUGAGAUCUCACUGGGAACUUGAUUCCCCUGAAGGGCCGUCGAAGACUACGACGUUGAUAGGCUGGGUGUGUAAGCGUUGUGAGGCGUUGAGCUAACCAGUACUAAUUGCCCGUGAGGCUUGACCAU
rnacentral:rRNA from 1 species